UACAGAGGGUGCAAGCGUUAAUCGGAUUUACUGGGCGUAAAGCGCACGUAGGCGGUUUUUUAAGUCAGAUGUGAAAGCCCCGGGCUCAACCUGGGAAUUGCAUUUGAAACUGGGAAACUAGAGUGUGUGAGAGGGGGGUAGAAUUCCAAGUGUAGCGGUGAAAUGCGUAGAGAUUUGGAGGAAUACCAGUGGCGAAGGCGGCCCCCUGGCACAACACUGACGCUCAGGUGCGAAAGCGUGGGGAGCAAACAGG
rnacentral:rRNA from 1 species